rnacentral:rRNA from 1 species
GAUGAACGCUGGCGGCGUGCUUAACACAUGCAAGUCGAACGAGAAUCAACGGAUUGAGGAUUCGUCCAAAUGAAGUUGAGGAAAGUGGCGGACGGGUGAGUAACGCGUGAGGAACCUGCCUCGGAGUGGGGAAUAACAGUUGGAAACAGCUGCUAAUACCGCAUAAUGCAGUUGGGUCGCAUGGCUCUGACUGCCAAAGAUUUAUCGCUCUGAGAUGGCCUCGCGUCUGAUUAGCUAGUUGGCGGGGUAACGGCCCACCAAGGCGACGAUCAGUAGCCGGACUGAGAGGUUGACCGGCCACAUUGGGACUGAGACACGGCCCAG